AGAAUCAACGCUGGCGGCGCGCCUAACACAUGCAAGUCGAACGAGAAAGCCGCAAGGUGAGUAAAGUGGCGUACGGGUGAGUAACACGUGGAUAAUCUGCCCUUUAGUGGGGAAUACCGCUGGGAAACCGGCGACAAUACCGCAUAAGCUCGAGAGAGGAAAGCAGCAAUGCGCUGAAGGAGGAGUCCGCGGUCGAUUAGUUAGUUGGCAGGGUAAAGGCCUACCAAGACUGUGAUCGAUA
rnacentral:rRNA from 1 species